AACGAACGCUGGCGGCAGGCCUAACACAUGCAAGUCGAACGCCCCGCAAGGGGAGUGGCAGACGGGUGAGUAACACGUGGGAACGUACCCUUUGGUUCGGAACAACUCCGGGAAACUGGAGCUAAUACCGAAUAAGUCCUACGGGGGAAAGAUUUAUCGCCGAAGGAUCGGCCCGCGUCGGAUUAGCUAGUUGGUGGGGUAAAAGCCUACCAAGGCGACGAUCCGUAGCUGGUCUGAGAGGAUGACCAGCCACACUGGGACUGAGACACGGCCCAGACUCCUACGGGAGGCAGCAGUGGGGAAUAUUGGACAAUGGGCGCAAGCCUGAUCCAGCCAUGCCGCGUGAGUGAUGAAGGCCUUAGGGUUGUAAAGCUCUUUCGCCAGGGACGAUAAUGACGGUACCUGGAUAAGAAGCCCCGGCUAACUUCAUGCCAGCCGCCGCCGUAAGAC
rnacentral:rRNA from 1 species